rnacentral:piRNA from 1 species
UGAAAACUUUGGGAACAGUUUUAUGGUC